GAACGACUCCCGGCAACGGAUAUCUCGGCUCUCGCAUCGAUGAAGAACGUAGCGAAAUGCGAUACUUGGUGUGAAUUGCAGAAUCCCGUGAACCAUCGAGUCUUUGAACGCAAGUUGCGCCCGAAGCCUUCGGGCCGAGGGCACGUCUGCCUGGGCGUCACGCA
rnacentral:rRNA from 1 species